rnacentral:lncRNA from 1 species
UCGACUCUUCAAUCCUGUUUGACCCAUAACUCAAUUUUUAAUCAAGUUAGCUUAUACAUUCAAUCAAGUCAAGUACUUUCAAAUUGGACAUAUAAACAUAGAUCAAUUUCUUCCUACUUUGUUUGACUUGUGUGCGUAACUUCAUAGGUUCAAACACUAAGUCGGUAGCACAUGAACCAAUUUCUGUACUAAUCGAGAUACCAUCUAGCAAUAGUUUUAGACAUCCAGAU